GUGCCAGCAGCCGCGGUAAAACGUAGGAGACGAGCGUUAUCCGGAUUUACUGGGCGUAAAGCGCGUGCAGGCGGCAUGGCAAGUUGGAUGUGAAAGCUCCCGGCUUAACUGGGAGAGGUCGUUCAAUACUGCCAGGCUUGAGAGUGGUAGAGGGAAGCGGAAUUCCGGGUGUAGUGGUGAAAUGCGUAGAUAUCCGGAGGAACACCAGUGGCGAAAGCGGCUUCCUGGCCCAUUUCUGACGCUCAGACGCGAAAGCUAGGGUAGCAAACGGGAUUAGAAACCCCUGUAGUCC
rnacentral:rRNA from 1 species